UACGUAGGGUGCAAGCGUUGUCCGGAAUUAUUGGGCGUAAAGAGCUCGUAGGCGGUCUGUCGCGUCGGAUGUGAAAAUCCAGGGCUCAACCCUGGACCUGCAUUCGAUACGGGCAGACUAGAGUUCGGCAGGGGAGACUGGAAUUCCUGGUGUAGCGGUGAAAUGCGCAGAUAUCAGGAGGAACACCGGUGGCGAAGGCGGGUCUCUGGGCAUUAACUGACGCUGAGGAGCGAAAGCAUGGGGAGCGAACAGG
rnacentral:rRNA from 1 species